rnacentral:rRNA from 1 species
CAUUAUUUAAACAAAAGGAGUGCACUUAAUUGUGGCUCCAAACCUUUUUAUAAUUCAACCCUAACACUUGUUUGUGUGGCCAUUUUUGGUCAUAGCACUCAGGUAAAAGUAACACUUUUGUGUUACAUUAUCCCCCCACCCUCCUUUUUUUUUUUUAACACCAGUUUUGAAUUGAGAAUGUAAAUUUAUUAUUUUGAAAUAACUUUUAACAAUGGAUCUCUAGGCUCUCAUAUCGAUGAAGAACACAGUGAAAUGUGAUAAGUAAUGUGAAUUGCAGAAUUCAGUGAAUCAUUGAAUCUUUGAACGCACCUUGCACCUUUUGGUAUUCCAAAAGGUACACCUGUUUGAGUGUCAUGAAAAUCUCUCAUCAAAUUAAUUUUUGGUGGAUGUUGAGUGCUGCUGCUAUCUAGCUCACUUUAAAUAUAUAAGUCUUUUGACAUUUGUUGGAUUGACUUGGUGUAAUAAUUCUUUUUCAUCAAGGAAAGUAGCAAUACUUGCCAGCAAUGUGGAAAAUGGACUCCUAAAUUGAUUUUAUAUCUUUAUCUUUUUA